rnacentral:misc_RNA from 1 species
GAUGAAGAACGUAGCGAAAUGCGAUAAGUAAUGCGAAUUGCAGAAUUCAGUGAAUCAUCGAAUCUUUGAACGCACAUUGCGCCCGCCAGUAUUCUGGCGAGCAUGCCUGUUCGAGCGUCAUUUCAACCAUCAAGCCCCAGGCUUGUGUUGGAGCCCUGCGGCUGCCGCAGCCUCCCAAAACCAGUGGCGGGCUCGCUAUCACACCGAGUGCAGUAGUUUACUCUUCGCUCAGGGCGUGUGGCGGGUGCUAGCCGUGAAACCCCCAACUUCUCAAGGUUGACCUCGGAUCAGGUAGGAAUACCCGCUGAACUUAAGCAUAUCAAUAAGCGGAGGA